rnacentral:rRNA from 1 species
GUGUCAGCCGCCGCGGUAAGACAGAGGUGGCAAGCGUUGUUCGGAUUUACUGGGCUUAAAGGGCGUGUAGGCGUCCUGAUAAGUCAGGUGUGGAAUCCCUGGGCUCAACCCAGGAAUUGCACUUGAAACUGUCAGGAUUGAGUCAUGCAUAGGAGGGCGGAAUUCCUGGUGUAGCGGUGAAAUGCGUAGAUAUCAGGAGGAAGGCCUGUGGCGAAGGCGGCCCUCUGGGCAAUGACUGACGCUGAGGCGCGAAAGCGUGGGGAGCAAACAGGAUUAGAUACCCUGGUAGUCCACGCCCUAAACGGUGGGCACUAGGUGUGGAGCUCGUGAGGGUUCCGUGCCGAAGGGAAACCAUUAAGUGCCCCGCCUGGGGAGUACGGCCGCAAGGUUGAAACUUAAAUGAAUUGGCGGGG